UACGGGGGGAGCAAGCGUUGUUCGGAUUUACUGGGCGUAAAGGGCGCGUAGGCGGCCACCGCAAGUCGAUUGUGAAAUCUCCGGGCUUAACCCGGAAAGGUCAACCGAUACUGCGGGGCUAGAGUGCAGAAGGGGCAACUGGAAUUCUCGGUGUAGCGGUGAAAUGCGUAGAUAUCGGGAGGAACACCAAUUGCGAAGGCAGCUCGCUGGGACGUUACUGACGCUGAGACGCGAAAGCGUGGGGAGCAAACAGG
rnacentral:rRNA from 1 species